rnacentral:rRNA from 1 species
UACGUAGGGUGCGAGCGUUGUCCGGAAUUAUUGGGCGUAAAGAGCUUGUAGGCGGUUUGUCGCGUCUGCUGUGAAAAUCCGGGGCUCAACCCCGGACUUGCAGUGGGUACGGGCAGACUAGAGUGUGGUAGGGGAGACUGGAAUUCCUGGUGUAGCGGUGAAAUGCGCAGGAUAUCAGGAGGAACACCGAUGGCGAAGGCAGGUCUCUGGGCCACUACUGACGCUGAGAAGCGAAAGCGUGGGGAGCGAACAGG